GACGAACGCUGGCGGCGUGCCUAAUACAUGCAAGUUGAGCGCUGAAGGUUGGUACUUGUACCAACUGGAUGAGCAGCGAACGGGUGAGUAACGCGUGGGGAAUCUGCCUUUGAGCGGGGGACAACAUUUGGAAACGAAUGCUAAUACCGCAUAAAAACUUUAAACACAAGUUUUAAGAUUGAAAGAUGCAAUUGCAUCACUCAAAGAUGAUCCCGCGUUGUAUUAGCUAGUUGGUGAGGUAAAGGCUCACCAAGGCGAUGAUACAUAGCCGACCUGAGAGGGUGAUCGGCCACAUUGGGACUGCGACACGGCCCAAACUCCUACGGGAGGCAGCAGUAGGGAAUCUUCGGCAAUGGACGAAAGUCUGACCGAGCAACGCCGCGUGAGUGAAGAAGGGUUUCGGAUCGUAAAACUCUGUUGGUAGAGAAGAACGUUGGUGAGAGUGGAAAGCUCAUCAAGUGACGGUAACUACCCAGAAAGGGACGGCUAACUACGUG
rnacentral:rRNA from 1 species